rnacentral:rRNA from 1 species
CCUACGGGCGGCAGCAGUGGGGAAUAUUGCACAAUGGGCGCAAGCCUGAUGCAGCCAUGCCGCGUGUGUGAAGAAGGCCUUCGGGUUGUAAAGCACUUUCAGCGGGGAGGAAGGCGUUAAGGUUAAUAACCUUGUCGAUUGACGUUACCCGCAGAAGAAGCACCGGCUAGCUCCGUGCCAGCAGCCGCGGUAAUACGGAGGGUGCAAGCGUUAAUCGGAAUUACUGGGCGUAAAGCGCACGCAGGCGGUCUGUCAAGUCGGAUGUGAAAUCCCCGGGCUCAACCUGGGAACUGCAUUCGAAACUGGCAGGGUAGAGUCUUGGAGAGGGGGGUAGAAUUCCAGGUGUAGGGGUGAAAUGCGUAGAGAUCUGGAGGAAUACCGGUGGCGAAGGCGGCCCCCUGGACAAAGACUGACGCUCAGGUGCGAAAGCGUGGGGAGCAAACAGGAUUAGAUACCCCGGUAGUC